rnacentral:rRNA from 1 species
ACACGCAUGACACACUGCAUAUCAAUAAGCGGAGGAAAAGAAACUAACAAGGAUUCCCUUAGUAACGGCGAGUGAAGCGGGAAGAGCUCAAAUUUGAAAUCUUCAAGGUUCUACCUUGACGAAUUGUAGUUUAUAGAAGUGUUUUCUGUUAGUAGAGUGGCAAAAGUUCUUUGGAAUAGGACAUCAUAGAGGGUGAGAAUCCCGUAUUUGGUCAUUCUUUCUAGCUUUGUGAUACACUUUCAACGAGUCGGAUUGUUUGGGAAUGCAGUCCAAAAUGGGUGGUAAAUUUCAUCUAAAGCUAAAUAUUGGCGAGAGACCGAUAGCGAACAAGUACCGUGAGGGAAAGAUGAAAAGAACUUUGAAAAGAGAGUUAAACAGUACGUGAAAUUGUCAAAAGGGAAGCGUUUGACACCAGUGUUGUUUUUCCGAAAAUCAAUUACGAAUGUUUUAUUUUUGAGGAGUUAUGACUUCAUCGGCUUGCUCCUUCCUUUACUGAAACUUUCUUAAUGCACUUUUCGGUUAACAAGUCAACAUCAAUUUCUUUUGUUGUAAAAGGGUAUGAGGAAGGUGGCUUUCUUUUCGGAGAAAGUGUUUAUAGCCUUGUACCUCUGCAAUCGGAGAGAUUGAGGUCUGCAGCGUAGAUCCUUCGGGGUUAGAUACAUUUGUGCUAAGUUAUAGCUUUUCAUAGACAACUUGUUGACUAUGUUAAGUCUUGUAGCUUACUCGCUUAUGCUAUUUUACCUACGCUUAGGAUGUUGAGCGCAUGUCUCUCUCU